GGAUACCACAAAAUCUUAUGUUAUACUUGAUGAAAGUAUAAAUAAAAUCUUUAAAUGUUAGUGAAUCUAUUGUUUUGAUGGGAUACACAUUCUACGAAACUAGUUUCGACGAUCCAACCGUCAAACUUGUUUUUAUAUGCUUUGAGAUCGCAUAUGCCAAAAAUUGCAAAAAACAAACUGUAGACAUCGAAAUUUCGGUAAAUAAAUGUUGACCGAUAAAUCAAAGUGUCAACGCUCAUGUAUUACAUAAAUUUUACACGUAGCGUGUGACUAAACGAAAAUUGAAAUGAGUUGGAAAAGUCAUCAAAUAGGACACGUGUCAACACCUGGCAGAAACGACUUAUUUCAUCUGGGAUAUUAUAUUCAAAAUUAGGCCUUGGAAAAUUCUAUAAAUACAAGCCCAUUUCAUUAAUUCAAGGGAACCAAUUCAUAUUACACCUUGAAGCUCGGAAGCUCUGAAACUCUGAAGCUCUCAAGCAUCCAGCAAAUCCCGAAGAAUCAAGAAAGUGUUCUUCGUUCUUCGUUCAUCGUUCAUCCAAGAUCAAGCCCCAACGGCCCUUUGGAUCAACAAUCAUCCACCAAUCCAAGAUCAAGCCCCGACGGCCCUUGAAGAAAGCACCAUCAUUCAUCAUCCGUUCACCCAAGAUCAAGCCCCAACGGCCCUUUGGAUCAACAAACGUCAACAAAUCCACACAUCCAACCGUUCUUCAAGAUCAAGCCCAAAAGCCCUUGAAGAUCCGCUCAUCACCGUUAUUCAAGAUCAAGCCUCAAACGGCCCUUGAAGAAACAUUCAUCCUCAAGAUCAAGCCCCAACUGCUCCUUGAAGAUCCGCUCAAAUCCACCUUCAAAGAUCAAGCCCAUGGCCCUUUGAAGAAACUUCCAACUGUUCGUCCAAGAUCAAGCCUCGACGGCCCUUGGAUCAACGAAACACCCAUAAAUCAACACCUUACGGAGAUCGAAUCAGAGGAUCAAAUUUGAGAGAGAUUGUAACCCAAAACUAUCAAAUACAAAUAUUUGUUUGUGCACGUCGUUUCUUGUCUCUUUCGUUUCAGGAAUUUUCCGUGUUCACAAAUUGGCAUGCCUAGUGGGACAAUCUCUGCCUCUCAUCUCUUUCUCCGUUCAAGAAAUUCAAGCGCGCUUCCAAAAUUAAUGGCAUCAAGGAAGGCUCAAAUUGUCCCCGCAACCGGCGCAAAGAACAAAAGCGUCCUCGUCGCAACUGGUGUCA
rnacentral:lncRNA from 1 species